AACGCACGCUGGCGGCAGGCCUAACACAUGCAAGUCGAGCGAGGAAUUCGGUCCUAGCGGCGGACGGGUGAGUAACGCGUGGGAACGUGCCCCUUGGUACGGAAUAGCCCCGGGAAACUGGGAGUAAUACCGUAUGAGCUCUACGGACGAAAGAUUUAUCGCCAAGGGAUCGGCCCGCGUUGGAUUAGGUAGUUGGUGGGGUAAUGGCCUGCCAAGCGGACGAUCCAUAGCUGGUUUGAGAGGAUGAUCAGCCACACUGGGACUGAGACACGGCCCAGACUACUACGGGAGGCAGCAGUGGGGAAUCUUAGACAAUGGGGGCAAGCCUGAUCUAGCCAUGCCGCGUGAGCGAUGAAGGCCUUAGGGUUGUAAAGCUCUUUCAGCUGGGAAGAUAAUGACUGUACCAGCAGAAGAAGCCCCGGCUAACUCCGUGCCAGCCGCCGCGGUAAGAC
rnacentral:rRNA from 1 species